CUCAGAUCGGUACAUCUGUAUAAGUUACCUUUUCGGCAGUACAAAUAUCGAUUUGUCCCUCGUCUUCAAAAGGCCAAUUUUCGAAGCUAGUUUGACGAUUUUUUUCCAAACUCAUUUUGGCAAGUUCAGGAUUGUCAAGUCUCAUGUCCACCAUUUUGAAUUUUUGCCAAAUUACCGCCAAAAUCGUUGUUGUUGUACCGGUUUCAAUUUUCCAAGCGCCUCCUUUGAAAUCUAAAGUAUUCCGUCUUUAUUCGUUAGGAGCUUUAUAGGACAACAAUUAAAAAUGAUUUGCAAAAGCCAAAAUUUCACUUGUUUUCAAAUGUUUUUGCGUUUUUGAAUUACAGCCUGUUCGCAGGUUGUGGUAAAUAUGAUACCGUCGUUUGCAUCCAACGAUGAACAGUCACA